CCUGCAGCAGGGGAGGCUGCGAGCCGCCGCGCCGCGACACGCCGCGCCACGCCACGGGGUCUUCAACGUGGUUGGCAGUGCCACAGCUACCUUCCUGCAUGCGGCUCGGUGCAACAUAAAUAAUUGGUUCCGGCCAAUAACAAAUCCUCAUCUCGAUUUCAUUGGCUUGUAUCUCGGGCAACACAAGAGACAUUCCUUAAUGGCUCAAAAUAUCCCUACUGGAUAAUCACGCGGCGAUGUGGAAGACGGACCCCGGCGGAGGGCAGAGCAUGGAGGAGCCCGGCGGUGGGGAGCCCGGCCGGGGGGGCCCCCCCCUCGGGUGCUGUGCAGCAGCUGGUGUUGUGAAUCAGGCCGUCGCCAGUCGGAGAACGGCUACUUCACAACACCAGGGUCGCACCGCACCACGGUUCGACCGCCGGCCGGAGAGGAGCGGACGUUCCCGCAGGCAGGCAGGGGAUGUGGAGCACCUCCCGGCUGCCUCCGCCCAAGCCCAGACCUGCAAAGGUAAUCAGGUGCUCAACUCCUAUUUAGGCACCAGCCUCCCACUGAAGUCUGAAAUAGAAGUUAGGCCCCUAAAUAUCUCUGUGGGUCUGGCCCCGAGACCCCGCCUUGCUGUGCAGUGCAGAGCAGUGCUUCAGCAGGCACAGGGCGGUGCUGUCAGCAGCGUGGUCACUGCCUGUUUGCAUGCCGUGUGAAUGUUAAGGAACAGGUAACUUUUAUGAAGCCGUGGUAAAUCGCAGGAAAAGAAAAAAAGCCUCUGCACGCUCCAUGUGUCGUUCUCCCCGAUAGUUGUGUCUGUGGUUCUUGCUUGUGACUAGUCCUGAUCCCUUCCCUAUCUAGACACCGGAUCACAUGUUCUCUGCAAAAAAUCCUGUACGUACCAGGAAAGAAGCCAGACUCCUUGGGAAUGACAUUUAAAAGAACCCUAGGUGUGUUGUAAUGAAUGAAAAAGCACCAAAAAUAAACAGUGGGGUUGUCCAGAAGUGGUACCAACCGCUUGUCCUUAAAAUAGAGAAAACAUUUGAUUUUGCGUUGCUCAAGCAGCUCUUCAUAAAUUAUUAGGUAUAGAGGGACAGCAAAGCACACUCAAACUAACCCUGUCUGGAAUGGCCCUGUAAUACCGGUGCCAUGCGUUUCAGGUCUGAAAUGCAGGCUCUCCCCUGCGCCCUCCCUUGUACCACAGCACCGUAAUGUUAGUUUGAGGGGAGUGGGUUAUGGCAGAAUUUCCACCCAAAACCAGGUCGUGUUCAUGGAGAUCAGCACAAAGCUGACGGCUGUACACGAUCCUUCAAGUCAAACUGAAAUGCUGUUCGUUUUUUUGCUCUCUGUAAGCAGCAAUCUGCUCUUGGACUCAGGAUGGGGGGUUUCUGGUGGGUUUUCCCUUCCUUCCACCCCUCAAGAUAGACUGGCUGUAUGCUCUUAGGUUGUUGUCUGGCUGUUGUCUUGUAUGACAUAAAACACUGGAUGUAUCUAAAGCAAAAAGUGGAGAAAUGCAGAGAGCAAACAAUCAAGGUGCCAUAGAACUCGUGAGGAGUUUUUUUGAAAGUUUUCUUCAUUGUCCUAACUCAUCUGAUUGAAGCCAGCACUAAUAAUCCACCCUGGAUGUAUGAUUGCUGGCAGGAAGAUUGAGAUAGGGGAGAGUCAGGAUAUACACAAAUAGCAUGGGACAGCCUGGAAUGGCAAAUGAAAAGAGGCAAAGGUGAUUAAUUACAUUCGACCCAUCCUAAUCUUUCUGUUCAGGUGGGCUUCCUACAGAAGUGAUAAUGAAUUCCUUUAAUAGCAGAAAGUCCACAGCCAGCACCAUGAACAGCACGAGAGACGUAUAGGAGGCUCACUCAUACGUUAGGAAAGGGCAACCUGAUGAUGCAGGCUAGCACUGGCUUUUUUCAUUGAUUAGAGGAAAAGCAAGACUGUGUUUCUGGUUCAGGCACUAUGGCAAGGAGAAGUAUGAAUUUGUCAACCCAACAAGCAAGAAGUCUGUUUUAUUAAACUUGUUCUCUGCUAACACAAACAGUGUGCGCUGUGUGGUAAUCUCAUUGUUCAUUAUAAACUUGUUUUAAAGCCUAAUGCAAAUCCGGGGUUUGUUUCAUGGGGUAAAAUACAGAACUCUUUAGAAAUGGGAGACAACAAUGAAAUAGCCCAAAUAACCCCUGCACACACACCAAUUUAGAUCAGCAGCUAUUCAUAUAUCGAACUAAACACUGUUUUGUCUUCUAUUGUGAGCCAGAAACCUGUUUGACCUAUUCAGUUUCUGUCGGAAAAUACACAUAACAUUUGAAAUAGGUUAAUGCUUAAUAUCCGCUGCCGGGUGACCUGAUAGACUAUCUCCAUACUUCUCCAAGUAUAAUAUGUGGAAACAGGUCAUUUUCAGUGCCCUUUGUUAAAGAAUUCCUUGGGAACAUCACACUUCAGAAGUACCUUUGGGGCAUUUAUUGUACUCCCUGUUUCUAACUUGAAUCCAUCACGCUUUAUGCUCUUCUGAAGUGAUUUUCUAGAAAAUUAAUGGAUGCUAUAAUACAGCAUUGCUACUGAAAAUCAAGCACUCACGCUUGUCAUUAAAGAGCCUGAUGGUGUCAUCUUGUGCGGUGGAUCUCAGCCUGAAUAGCCAACUGUCAGCUUCAGGUGGCUGAAGCAAUUUCUGUUUGCUCCCUUCAGCAGUUAAAAAUACUUGAUGUUAGCACGUGCCGCAGUGAAAGGUGAAUGCACAAAAUAAAUAGUUCAAGAUGAGUUUUAAA